AGCGAACGCUGGCGGCAGGCUUAACACAUGCAAGUCGAACGGGCACUUCGGUGCUAGUGGCAGACGGGUGAGUAACGCGUGGGAACGUGCCUUUCGGUUCGGAAUAAUCCAGGGAAACUUGGACUAAUACCGGAUACGCCCUUCGGGGGAAAGAUUUAUCGCCGAAAGAUCGGCCCGCGUCUGAUUAGCUAGUUGGUGAGGUAAAGGCUCACCAAGGCGACGAUCAGUAGCUGGUCUGAGAGGAUGAUCAGCCACAUUGGGACUGAGACACGGCCCAAACUCCUACGGGAGGCAGCAGUGGGGAAUAUUGGACAAUGGGCGCAAGCCUGAUUCAGCCAUGCCGCGUGAGUGAUGAAGGCCUUAGGGUUGUAAAGCUCUUUUGUCCGGGAAGAUAAUGACUGUACCGGAAGAAUAAGCCCCGGCUAACUUCGUGCCAGCCGCCGCAGUAA
rnacentral:rRNA from 1 species